ACACGGCCCAGACUCCUACGGGAGGCAGCAGUGGGGAAUCUUGCGCAAUGGGCGAAAGCCUGACGCAGCAACGCCGCGUGCGGGAGGAAGGCCUUCGGGUUGUAAACCGCUUUCAGGGGAGACGAAGCUUCCAGGGUGAAUAGCCCUGUGGAGUGACGGUAUCUUCAGAAGAAGUCCCGGCUAACUACGUGCCAGCAGCCGCGGUGAUACGUAGGGGACAAGCGUUGUCCGGAAUUAUUGGGCGUAAAGCGCGUGUAGGCGGCCAAGUAAGUCUUACGUGAAAUCCUGAGGCUCAACCUCAGGCCUGCGCGGGAUACUGCUUGGCUAGAGUCCGGAAGAAGAGAGUGGAAUUCCUGGUGUAGCGGUGGAAUGCGCAGAUAUCAGGAGGAACAUCCGUGGCGAAGGCGGCUCUCUGGGACGGUACUGACGCUGAGACGCGAAAGCGUGGGGAGCGAACAGGAUUAGAUACCCUGGUAGUCCACGCCGUAAACGAUGGGCGCUA
rnacentral:rRNA from 1 species